GUGCUCACCUCAGCAGUGCCUAUACUAAAACUGGAACAAUACAGAGAUUAGCACGGCCCCUGCGCAAUGACAUGCAAAUUCAUGAAGCAUUCCAUAUUUUU
rnacentral:snRNA from 1 species